UACAGAGGGUGCAAGCGUUGCUCGGAAUUAUUGGGCGUAAAGGGCAGGUAGGUGGUCUUAUUUGUCUAGGGUGAAAUCCCGGAGCUUAACUUCGGAAGUGCCUUAGAAACGGUAAGACUAGAGUCCUAGAGAGGUUCGUGGAAUUCCCGGUGUAGCGGUGAAAUGCGCAGAUAUCGGGAAGAACACCCGUGGCGAAGGCGGUUCUCUGGGACGGUACUGACGCUGAGACGCGAAAGCGUGGGGAGCGAACAGG
rnacentral:rRNA from 1 species